UACGUAGGGGGCGAGCGUUGUCCGGAAUGACUGGGCGUAAAGGGCGCGUAGGCGGUUUUAUAAGUUAGGAGUGAAAUUCCAGUUUUCAAGAUUGGAACUGCUUUUAAUACUGUAGGACUUGAGUGCAGAAGAGGUAAGAGGAAUUCCCAGUGUAACGGUGAAAUGCGUAGAGAUUGGGAAGAACACCAGUGGCGGAGGCGGCUUACUGGGCUGUAACUGACGCUGAGGCGCGAAAGCGUGGGGAGCGAAC
rnacentral:rRNA from 1 species